UUGGAGUUCAUGCCAGAGAGGUUCCUGACCAGCCAUGUUGGGGUCGACGUUCGUGGGCAGCACUUGGAGCUUAUCCCAUUCGGUUCUGGCAGGAGGGUUUGUCCUGGGAUAUCAUUUUCAAUGCAAGUGAUCCACUUGACAAUUGCUCGCCUCGUCCAGGCGUUCAACCUCGAAACGCCUGGCAAUGUUCCCGUCGAUUUGAGUCCUGGACUAGGUGUCACUGCAGCAAA
rnacentral:misc_RNA from 1 species